UACAUCCACCAUGCCUGGAAUGGUCUGCAAGAACUCAGACCUGGAAUUUGACUUGCUGAAACCCUGCUUCUACCUGGAAGAAGAUGACAUCUACUUUGGUGGUCACAACUCUACACCUCCAGGGGAGGACACCCGGAAGAAGUUUGAAUUGUUGCUCACCCCGCAAUUGUCACCUGGAUGUGCCUUGGCAGAGCACAGCCUGGAGCCAGUGAACCGGACCACGGAAAUGCUGCUGCCUGAGGUCGACCUAUGGAGUAACCCGGCCGAGGAGGAGGUUCUCGGGCUGGGAGGACUCCGCAGCUGCACUAGCAACACAAUCAUCCUUCAGGACUGCACCCGUGAGAAGCCAGAGAGUGUGGUGAGCGAGAAACUGCCAGGAAGCUACGAGUCCCUGGCCCUUGGCACAGGCACCUUGGCCCCCAGAGCAGCAGACGCCACCGCCACCGCCAGCUGUGCUGUGUGGGCACUCAGUGAGACAGCAGGUAUGGGGUGUGGGAAGGCAGCCUGGCUCACAGAGGUCUCCCAUCUGGACUCGGAUUAUGUGGACCCUGCUGUGGUCUUCUUCCCAGCGAAUAAGCACGAGCCUAUGCCUGUACCCACCAUCCCCACCAGCACGGGCGAAGCAAGCAACUCAGGUUCUGUGGAGGAAGGCGGAAAGGAAAUCUAUGUGGACAUGCUGGAGGAGACACAGUUCUCUGAAAAUGUCACCAGGCUCCCCACCGCAGCGCAUUGGGAGAACGCAGCGCCGAGUCCCGGAUGCACGCAGUCCAGAGAGCUGAUCCUCAAGCACUGCGACCUCAUUCAAGAGCAACACAACUAUGCUGCUCCACCUUUGCCCUACUUGGACAGGGAGGACCCGCGGCCUCAGAAGAAGCCCAGGAGCCUCGCUUCGCUAGGGCCCCUCAAACGCGUCCUCUGGCCAAAGGCUCAGAGAUUGGGAUCCCAGAACAACUCAGACUUGGAGGACGUCGAGCACCACCGCAACCACAACAGGACGGAGCGCCAACGCCGCAACCACAACAGGACAGAGCGCCAACGCCGUGACAUUAUGCGUUCCGGUUUCCUGAACCUUAGGGACCUUGUGCCCGAACUGGCGCACGAUGAGAAGGCUGCCAAGGUGGUCAUCCUGAAAAAAGCCACCGAGUACAUCCAUACUCUGCAGGCUGAUGAGUUCAAGCUCCUGGUGGAAAGGAAGAAACUGUAUAAAAGACAACAGCAACUGCUAGAGAAAAUCAGACAAUCUGCUGUGUGCUAA